GGCAGCCUGGGGGGCGGGUGGCACCUCAGUCUUCCUGCCCUUCCCCUCCCCUCCGCUCUGCUCCAGGUGGGGGCAACCAGGCCACUUCCCAGGAUGGGGAGGGGCAAGACAGGGCUCUGCACCAAGAGAGCUGGGGGGCUUGGCCCAUCACGGGAAAGGAGCCAGAGGGGGGCAGGGUGGGCAGCUGCUGACCCCAGGGCCGACCUCCCAGCCAGGAUGAGGGAGGCCUGGGCUACCCCUCCCAGGCCGAGCUGCCCUGGCCCUGGCCCUCCCGCCACGUGACCCGGCUCAGUACCCGGGAGGACAAUGUGGGCUGCCUGCCAACCCCCAGGCCACGCCAGCGUCCGCAGGUGCCAGGCGGUCAGGAAAAGGGCAAGACUGGGACACAAGUCACAGGAAAGACAGCGGCCACCUGAGACCUUCCGUGGGACCGGGUAGGACAGAAACAAACGGUGGGACUAUGAACAGACGACCCUCAGUGAGAGAAGCCAGAUGUGAAAGGACACAGCGUGUGAUUCCAUUGAUGGGAAACGUCCAGAACAGGCCAGUCCACAGACAGAGAGUGGGUUCCUGGUUGUCAGGGGCUGGGGGAGGGGGUGGGGAGUGACUGCUGAUGGGGACAGGGCUUCUAUUGGGGUGAUGGAAUGCUCUGGAAUUAGAUAGAGGUGAUGCUUACACAACACUAAGAAUGCAUUAAAAUCCACAAAA